rnacentral:rRNA from 1 species
AUACGUAGGGUGCGAGCGUUAAUCGGAAUUACUGGGCGUAAAGCGUGCGCAGGCGGUUCCAUAAGACAGAUGUGAAAUCCCCGGGCUUAACCUGGGAACUGCGUUUGUGACUGUGGGACUCGAGUGUGGCAGAGGGGGGUGGAAUUCCACGUGUAGCAGUGAAAUGCGUAGAGAUGUGGAGGAACACCGAUGGCGAAGGCAGCCCCCUGGGUCAACACUGACGCUCAUGCACGAAAGCGUGGGGAGCAAACAGGAUUAGAUACCCUGGUAGUCCACGCCCUAAACGAUGCGAACUAGGUGUUGGGGAAGGAGACUUUCUUAGUACCGCAGCUAACGCGUGAAGUUCGCCGCCUGGGGAGUACGGUCGCAAGAUUAAA